rnacentral:rRNA from 1 species
AACGAACGCUGGCGGCAUGCCUAACUCAUGCAAGUCGAACGAACCCUUCGGGGUUAGUGGCGCACGGGUGCGUAACGCGUGGGGAUCUGCCCUUUGCUUCGGAAUAACAGUUAGAAAUGACUGCUAAUACCGGAUGAUGUCGAAAGACCAAAGAUUUAUCGGCAAAGGAUGAACCCGCGUAGGAUUAGCUAGUUGGUGGGGUAAAGGCCUACCAAGGCGACGAUCCUUAGCUGGUCUGAGAGGAUGAUCAGCCACACUGGGACUGAGACACGGCCCAGACUCCUACGGGAGGCAGCAGUGGGGAAUAUUGGACAAUGGGCGAAAGCCUGAUCCAGCAAUGCCGCGUGAGUGAUGAAGGCCUUAGGGUUGUAAAGCUCUUUUACCAGGGAUGAUAAUGACAGUACCUGGAGAAUAAGCUCCGGCUAACUCCGUGCCAGCCGCCGCAGUAA